rnacentral:rRNA from 1 species
UACGGAGGGUGCGAGCGUUGUCCGGAUUUAUUGGGUUUAAAGGGUGCGUAGGUGGCCCUGUAAGUCAGUGGUGAAAUACAGCCGCUUAACGGUUGAGGUGCCAUUGAUACUGCAGGGCUUGAAACAAGUGGAGGCUGCCGGAAUGGAUGGUGUAGCGGUGAAAUGCAUAGAUAUCAUCCAGAACACCGAUUGCGAAGGCAGGUGGCUACGUUUGAUUGACACUGAGGCACGAAAGCAUGGGAGCAACAGG